CUCGAGGCCCCCUCAGGGCUGCGAGCCCGGUGUCUGUGCGGUGGGGGCGCCUGCGUGCCCUGCAGGGCUGAGGGCCUGUUGCGGGGCGGCUGCCUGGCGCCUCUGCAAGGUCUUCCUCCCUCCCUGCAGCUCCGAUCCGCUGCCGGGGAGGGAAACGACCCCGACAGAAACCCGAUUGGAAGCGGGAAGGUUACGCCUCGGAAACAUCUGCCUCCCCCAGCUCGACCAUGCUUCCCCCACCCAGUGAGGCUGAGCUGCGGCUUUCAGUCUGAGCCCCUGCGGCCCGCAGAGGCUGCUGCUGGGCUGGGCCCGGGCGGCACUAGGCUCGCACCUCGGCCCGUCCCCCACAGGAGGGGCCUCGGUUUUCUUCUCUGCACGUUUGCGUUUGGGGGAGCCUCCUGCCUCCACUCACUGCCACGGAGGGACUGGGCCAGGCCCUUGAUUCAUUUGGACCGGUCCAAAGUCUGCACUCCUACUUUGGCCCCUUGCCUCUCAGACCUUCUGAGAGCUGACCCCUUGGGAGAUGAAAGUCUAGGCUCUGCCAGCAGCCUUCAAAAUCAGUCCGAGGCCAGGCAAACUUUGCAGCACUCGUUUGCAGAGCUGGGGAUCCCUCCACAGGACGUGUGCCAGACAGAACUGUAGACCCCAGCCCACCUCCAAAGGACGACAGAUUCACAUAACGUUUUCAGCAUGGCUGAUGAAGAGCGCAUUCCACGACCAUUCCCUUUCCCACGGUUCCUAAACAAAACGGAUGUGGGAAACAAGGAAAUCCAGAGAAGCAAAAUCGGGACAAUUUAGGAAGAGAGCUGGUGUUAAAGCUGAGGGCCCAUUCUCCACACAGAAGCAAGGAGCGGUUGCUGUUUGUGAAAGCAAAACAUAACAACAAUAUCCAGAUACAAAACAAGAUGGAUUCUGCACGUCCAGUUGUCUUGUUUAAGAUGCAAGCAGUAGGAGAUUGUCAUUUUCACCAUUGAAAUGUGGAGCACUGUUUUGAACCUUUGUGGGGGACUUACCAUGGGUGGGAGCUAUUGCAAUCUAUUUUAUUACUCAUUUAACCCUUAGCUCGCCAUCUGCAUCACCCUACUAUGCCCACUUAACAACACUGCAAUGGAGGCAUAGAGUGAUUUGCAUGAGAUCAAAGGGGAAGUCAGGGAAUAGCAGAUGUUGGAUUUUGAAUUCCUGAAACACAGUGGCCCCAGAACCCUGCAUUUCAACCCCUUUCAUUCCACCUUCUAACACUCUUUGGCAGUUGGGUGAGUCAGAUCCUGGCCCGUCCGUCUACCCAUGCUCAAGGUUCUCUCUGACUAUUUAAAGCUACAUUAAAAAAAAAAAAAAAAACUCCCUGAAGGAGGUAGUCAAAAUAAAUAGAAUUUCUGAGAUUCAGGUGGCUUGGAUGUUAAUCAUUAACUUAGUGGUAAAGCUUUAACGGCAGCCUUUACAGCAAUGUACUCACCAGGUUUUACAUUCAAUUCAACAGUAAAAAUUUAAGUAUCUAAUCUAAGUCAGACUCCAGACACAAGCCAAGGCCCUCAGUUUUCACAUUUGGUUUGCCUUUUGUUACAAAGAUUUUGGGGUGGGGGAUAGGUUCGUUUUUUCCCCCCCAAAAGGUGGGUUCUUUUUUUUCUGAGAGGUGGUUUCAUUUCUCUCUCAGGGAGGUAACUCAGAGACCAGCUGGGCCUCUCGCCUGGCAGAAGUGUGGGGCACACUUCUGAGAGCAGGGCCUCCAACUCACAAGGUCACUUCUGCCACAGGGUGGGUCUUCUUAGCCAUUCUCCUUCAAGUCUACCCGUGUCACACCAUGCUGCAGCCUGGUGCUGGUUCCUUUUGUUUCUUUUUCUUUUCUUUUGCUUUUGUGUGUUUGUUUGUUUUUCAAGACAGGGCUUCUCUGCCUAGCCCUGGCUGUCCUGGAACUCACUAUGUAGACCAGGCUGGCCUAGAACUCAGAGAUCUGUCCCCUCUGCCUUCCAAGUGCUGGGAUUAAAGGCCUGAGCCACCACCAAUACCCCCCUCCAGGAGUCAAGGUCUUCUCUCCUUUUUC
ensembl:lncRNA